rnacentral:rRNA from 1 species
GGGCUUUCCCUUCGGGGACAGAGUGACAGGUGGUGCAUGGUUGUCGUCAGCUCGUGUCGUGAGAUGUUGGGUUAAGUCCCGCAACGAGCGCAACCCUUGAUCUUAGUUGCCAGCAUUCAGUUGGGCACUCUAAGGUGACUGCCGGUGACAAACCGGAGGAAGGUGGGGAUGACGUCAAAUCAUCAUGCCCCUUAUGACCUGGGCUACACACGUGCUACAAUGGACAGAACAAAGGGCUGCGAGACCGCAAGGUUUAGCCAAUCCCACAAAUCUGUUCUCAGUUCGGAUCGCAGUCUGCAACUCGACUGCGUGAAGCUGGAAUCGCUAGUAAUCGCGGAUCAGCAUGCCGCGGUGAAUACGUUCCCGGGUCUUGUACACACCGA